rnacentral:rRNA from 1 species
GUAAGGAAUAUUGGUCAAUGGACGAAAGUCUGAACCAGCCAUGCCGCGUGUGUGAAGAAGGUCUUCGGAUUGUAAAGCACUUUAAGUUGGGAGGAAGGGUAGUAACCUAAUACGUUGCUACUUUGACGUUACCGACAGAAUAAGCACCGGCUAACUUCGUGCCAGCAGCCGCGGUAAUACGAAGGGUGCAAGCGUUAAUCGGAAUUACUGGGCGUAAAGCGCGCGUAGGUGGUUCAGUAAGUUGGAAGUGAAAUCCCCGGGCUCAACCUGGGAACUGCUUUCAAAACUGCUGAGCUAGAGGACGGUAGAGGGUGGUGGAAUUUCCUGUGUAGCGGUGAAAUGCGUAGAUAUAGGAAGGAACACCAGUGGCGAAGGCGACCACCUGGACUGAUACUGACACUGAGGUGCGAAAGCGUGGGGAGCAAACAGGAUUAGAUACCCCAGUAGUCC